GAGGGUAUAGCUCAGUGGUAGAGUGUGUGCCUAGCACGUACAAGGUCCUGGGUUCAAUCCCCUGUACCACCA
rnacentral:tRNA from 1 species